GUGCUCGCUUCAGCAGCACAUAUACUAAAAUUGGAACGAUACAGAAAAGAUUAGCAUGGCCCCUGUGCAAGGAUGACACGCAAAUUCGUGAAGUAUUCCAUAUUUUU
rnacentral:snRNA from 1 species